CUGGUUGGCUGGGGGACCCUGAUCCAGCAAUGCCGCGUGUGUGAAGAAGGUCUUCGGAUUGUAAAGCACUUUUGGCAGGGACGAUGAUGACGGUACCUGCAGAAUAAGCCCCGGCUAACUUCGUGCCAGCAGCCGCGGUAAUUA
rnacentral:rRNA from 1 species